AUUGAACGCUGGCGGCAGGCCUAACACAUGCAAGUCGAACGAGUGGCGGACGGGUGAGUAAUGUCUGGGAAACUGCCCGAUGGAGGGGGAUAACUACUGGAAACGGUAGCUAAUACCGCAUACCAUCGGAUGUGCCCAGAUGGGAUUUGCUUGUAGGUGAGUUAACGGCUCACCUAGGCGACGAUCCCUAGCUGGUCUGAGAGGAUGACCAGCCACAGUGGAACGAAGACACGGUCCAGAAUCAUACGGGAGGGAGCAGUGGGGAAUAUCGCACAAUGGGCGCAAGCCUGAUGCAGCCAUGCCGCGUGUAUGAAGAAGGCCUUCGGGUAGUAAAGUACUUUCAGCGGGGAGGCGUUACCCGCAGAAGAAGCACCGGCUAACUCCGUGCCUGCACCCGCGUUAAUAC
rnacentral:rRNA from 1 species